UACGGGGGGGGCAAGCGUUGUUCGGAAUUACUGGGCGUAAAGGGCUCGUAGGCGGCCAACUAAGUCAUACGUGAAAUCCCUCGGCUUAACCGGGGAACUGCGUCUGAUACUGCGUGGCUUGAGUGCAGGAGAGGAAUGCGGAAUUCCAGGUGUAGCGGUGAAAUGCGUAGAUAUCUGGAGGAACACCGGUGGCGAAGGCGGCAUCCUGGACCGGCAUUGACGCUGAGGCGCGAAAGCUAGGGGAGCAAACGGG
rnacentral:rRNA from 1 species